rnacentral:rRNA from 1 species
AUUGAACGCUGGCGGCAUGCCUUACACAUGCAAGUCGAACGGCAGCACGGGGGCAACCCUGGUGGCGAGUGGCGAACGGGUGAGUAAUGCAUCGGAACGUGCCCAGUAGUGGGGGAUAACGUAGCGAAAGUUACGCUAAUACCGCAUACGAUCUACGGAUGAAAGCGGGGGAUCGCAAGACCUCGCGCGAAUGGAGCGGCCGAUAUCAGAUUAGGUAGUUGGUGGGGUAAAGGCUCACCAAGCCAACGAUCUGUAGCUGGUCUGAGAGGACGACCAGCCACACUGGAACUGAGACACGGUCCAGACUCCUACGGGAGGCAG